rnacentral:rRNA from 1 species
UACAGAGGAUGCAAGCGUUAUCCGGAAUGAUUGGGCGUAAAGCGUCUGUAGGUGGCUUUUUAAGUCCGCCGUCAAAUCCCAGGGCUCAACUCUGGACAGGCGGUGGAAACUACCAAGCUGGAGUACGGUAGGGGCAGAGGGAAUUUCCGGUGGAGCGGUGAAAUGCGUAGAGAUCGGAAGGAACACCAGUGGCGAAGGCGACCACCUGGACAGAUACUGACACUGAGGCGCGAGAGCGUGGGGAGCAAACAGG